rnacentral:misc_RNA from 1 species
UAUUUAUUUAUACGAAAUGUUUAAUAACGAUAUGUUAAUAUUCAUGAAGUUUAUGAUAGUGUUUAAUGCUAAUGUAUUCUCAAUGAAACAAUUCAAUUAGAACGCGUUAAGAAUUUCAGUGUCAAGGGAAAAGGAAAUUGAUUAACGCAAUAGAAAGAGAAUUUUUAACGCACAUUGCGAAAUGCGUAUCUAUAAUUCAAUGAUAUUAUAAGUACUUAUAUACCAACAUAUUGAAUAAUCACGAUGACACCAUAAAAAGACGCCUCAUU